rnacentral:lncRNA from 1 species
GUUUGUUCUGACAAUAUCAGUAAUCUAGUUGCAAGGAACUUGUAGUUAUUAUAUUUAAAGUCAUUUCCCAUGAAAUUUAUAUUUGAAGUUUUCUAAUUCUUGGUUACGCACUCAAAUCCCCAAAUGGAAAUUCAAUUCUGUCUUUUUAUUUACAGAAUAUACUGAUGAUAAUGCUCUGAUUCCUAAGAAUUCUUCUGUAAUUGUUAGAAGAAUUCCUAUUGGAGGUGUUAAAUCUACAAGCAAGACAUAUGUUAUAAGUCGAACUGAACCAGCGAUGGCAACUACAAAAGCAGUAUGUAAAAACACAAUCUCACACUUUUUCUACACAUUGCUUUUACCUUUAUAAUGUAGCAGUGAAGUAAAUCAUUUUAGAACUUAAUAUCCAACUGAUCAUAGUACAUAUUGUAAAUAAAAUGUAUUUUGAUGACAGCUCAGUUGAAUAUGGAUAAUAUGUGGCAUCACUUGCACACUUAUUUUGUAGAAAUGGGUAAUUUGUGCCCGUAACACUGUUUCAUAUUAAAUAUGAUAGCAUUAUCCCUGUAUGACACUGUGUUGUACAGUUAAUGUAUGAUCCUUUUUAGAUCGUUUAGGUUUUACACUAAGGAACAUGAUGACAUGUUCUACAUUUGUCUGUCUAUAGUUAGUAUUUUGUAUGUAUGUACAGGCUGUUGUGUGCUUUUUGUUUCUUGCAAUAAAAAAUGUUUGGAGUGU